rfam:Dipodomys ordii contig_6977, whole genome shotgun sequence.
GGGAAUGUGGCUCAAUGGUAGAGUUCUUGUUUCACAUGCAUGAGGCCCUGGGUUCAAUUCCUCAGCACCA